rnacentral:lncRNA from 1 species
GAUCUACCUUUUGCUGGGCUUUGCUGACCAGGCACUGAGUCCCACAGAUAGUCCUGUGGUUGUAUGAUAUCUUCCCAGGGUUUGAGAACAAUGAUUAAGGCGUCGCUUAGGCAUUCAAGGCUGGCAUUCGGCUGAGUCACAUCCACAUCUCAGGUGUGUCUGCCAGGCCCACUGGAGGCUGGCGGAGACACACAGCAAAAGCAGUCUGAUCCAACAGAGUGCAAGUCUCUGCUUGUUGCUGGGGCACAUCAAGAGGCCUCAUCUAAAAACACAGGCCCAGGGGUAGAGACUUUUGGUUUGUAUCUGGUGCUGAGUCUCACUGCGGGUCUGGUUCUGAUCCUGAAGGUGUAAUCCGAGGUUCACUUUCCUCCCAUACUCUGUAACAGUUGGAAUCUUGUUCUACUGUCUGCCUGAGGUUGGGGGAAGGGAUGGUAGAGGCACUGGAUCACCUACCUUGCCGAGCAAGGCCUAAAGGCUCAGUUUGCAGUUUCUACCUAUGGACAUACUGAGCUGAAUGAAGGCUAUGAGUCCCAGUCUACUUGAAAAUUAUCCAUAUGUAACUCUGCCAGAUGACAGAAAUUCCUGCAGAUGUGUCUCAAAAAUAGAUCUUUCAGGAGCCAGCACUGUGGUGUGGUGGGUGAGGCCACCACCUGUAGUGCCAGCAUCCCCUAUGGGCACUGGUUUGAGUCCCGGCUGCUCCACUUCCGAUCCAGCUCUCUGCUGUGGCCUGGGAAAGCACCUGCGUGGAAAGCCCUGGAAGAAGCUCCUGACUCCUGGCUUUGGAUUGGUGCAGCUCCUGCUGUUGUGGCCAUCUGGUGAGUGAACCAGCAGAUAGAAGACCUCUCUCUCUCUCACACUCUCUCUCUCUCUGCUCUCUCUCUCUCUCUCUGUGUAACUGACAUUCAAGUAAAUAAAUAAAUCUUAAAAAAUAGAUCUUUCA